GACCGAGAGAAAAGCUAUGAUACAACUUUCAGCGAUGGAUCUCUUGGCUCUCGCAUCGAUGAAGAACGCAGCGAAUCGCGAUAAGUAAUGUGAAUUGCAGAUCUUCCGUGAAUCAUCGAAUCUUUGAACGCACCUUGCGCUCCUCGGUAUUCCGAGGAGCAUGCCUGUUUGAGUGUCAUCGAAGCCCUCGGAUCGAGAGUUCGACCCCGUCGAAGCUCGGUCCGGAUCAUGGGAGUCUGCGGGCGAGCUUCGUGCUUCGUCCGCUCUCCUCAAAAGCAUUAGCUGUGGGCACGAGACUUGCAUGGCACGGCCUCUUCGACGUCGUAACGAUCGUCGCGGGCUGGAAGUGCAUGGCUCGACGGGUCCAUGCUUGACCUCGGGUGGUCGCACCCCGAUCGAAGCUUGACCUCAAAUCAGGUAGGACUACCCGCCGAACUUAAGCAUAUCAAUAAG
rnacentral:rRNA from 1 species